ACGGCUCAGUAACACGUGGACAAUCUGCCCUGAAGAAGAGGAUAAUCCCGGGAAACUGGGGGUAAUACUCUAUAGUCCGGGAGGACUGGAAUGUUCUCCGGAUGAAAGAUCCGUCGCUUCAGGAUGAGUCUGCGGCCGAUUAGGUAGUUGUUGGGGUAAAAGCCCAACAAGCCCGUAAUCGGUACGGGUUGUGGGAGCAAGAGCCCGGAGAUGGAUUCUGAGACACGAAUCCAGGCCCUACGGGGCGCAGCAGGCGCGAAAACUUUACAAUGCGGGCAACCGUGAUAAGGAAACCCCGAGUGCCACCACAGGGUGGCUGUCCACCAGUGUAAAAAACUGGUGAAGAAAGGGCCGGGCAAGACCGGUGCCAGCCGCCGCGGUAAUACCGGCGGCUCGAGUGGUGGCCGCUUUUACUGGGCUUAAAGGGUCCGUAGCUUGAUUCACAAGUCCCUUGAGAAAUCCAUCGGCUUAACUGAUGGGCGUUCAGGGGAUACUGUGGUUCUAGGGACCGGGAGAGGUGAGAGGUACUGCCGGGGUAGGAGUGAAAUCCUGUAAUCCCGGUGGGACGACCUAUGGCGAAGGCAUCUCACCAGAACGGCUCCGACAGUGAGGGACGAAAGCUGGGGGAGCAAACCGGAUUAGAUACCCGGGUAGUCCCAGCUGUAAACGAUGCGCGUUAGGUGUGUCAGUGAUCACGUGUCACUGAGAUGCCGAAGGGAAACCGUGAAACGCGCCGCCUGGGGAGUACGGUCGCAAGGCUGAAACUUAAAGGAAUUGGCGGGGGAGCAC
rnacentral:rRNA from 1 species